GCCAGCUAGGUCAAAUGGUUAAGAUGCCGCCUUCAUACGGCGAGAGGACUGAGUUCAACUCUCAGAGCUGGCACCA
rnacentral:tRNA from 1 species